rnacentral:rRNA from 1 species
AUUNCACCGCCGUUAAACGAAUGUNAACUUNGAGGUUGUGGCCUUGAGCCCGUGGGCUUUUGGAGCUAACGCGUUAAGUAGNCCGCCUGGGGGAGUACGGUCGCAAGAUUAAAACUCAAAUGAAAUGACGGGGGCCCGCACAAGCGGUGGAGCAUGUGGUUUAAUUCGAUGCAACGCGAAGAACCUUACCUACUCUUGACAUCUACAGAAGCCAGCGGAGACGCAGGUGUGCCUUCGGGAACUGUAAGACAGGUGCUGCAUGGCUGUCGUCAGCUCGUGUUGUGAAAUGUUGGGUUAAGUCCCGCAACGAGCGCAACCCUUAUCCUUGUUUGCCAGCACUUCGGGUGGGAACUCCAGGGAGACUGCCGGUGAUAAACCGGAGGAAGGUGGGGACGACGUCAAGUCAUCAUGGCCCUUACGAGUAGGGCUACACACGUGCUACAAUGGCGCAUACAGAGGGCGGCCAACUUGCGAAAGUGAGCGAAUCCCAAAAAGUGCGUCGUAGUCCGGAUUGGAGUCUGCAACUCGACUCCAUGAAGUCGGAAUCGCUAGUAAUCGUGGAUCAGAAUGCCACGGUGAAUACGUUCCCGGGCCUUGUACACACCGCCCGUCACACCAUGGGAGUGGGCUGCAAAAGAAGUGGGUAGUUUAACCUUCGGGAGGACGCUCACCACUUUGUGGUUCAUGACUGGGGNGAAGUCGUAACAAGGUAACCG